CGGGCAGCCCCGAUUUNAACUGAAACAACUUUCAAACAACGGAUCUCUUGGCUCUCGCAUCGAUGAAGUAACGCAGCGAAAUGCGAUAAGUAAUGUGAAUUUGCAUGAAUUUCAGUGAAUCAUCGANAUCUUUGAACGCACCUUGCGCCCCUUGGUAUUCCGAGGUGGCAUGCCUGUUUGAUGUGUCUUGUAAAUCUAUCUAACCUAACCGGUCUUGUUGCCGGCGCGGUUUGGACUUGGGGGUUCUUUGCUGCCGCUCGCGGUGGCUCCCCUUAAAUGUAUCGGUCGGGCUUUCGUGCGGCUCUGUCCCUUGGCGUUGUAUUACCCUCGUCGCUGGAUGGCUCGCGAUUCUGCGCCCCUCCCGUGACCUGCCUCUGGAGCGGCGGUCUCUAACAUUUUGUGAUCUGACCUCAAAUCAGGUAGGACUACCCGCUGAACUUAAGCAUAUCAAUAAGCGGAGGGAAAGAAACUAACAAGGAUUCCCCUAGUAACUGCGAGUGAAGCGGGAAAAGCUCAAAUUUGAAAUCUGGCGGCUCCGCCG
rnacentral:rRNA from 1 species